UGAGCAACCUGCCCUUGGCUUCGGGAUAACUCCGGGAAACCGGGCUAAUACCGGAUGUGACAUGCUCCUGCAUGGGGGUGUGUGGAAAGAUUUAUUGGCCAGGGAUGGGCUCGCGGCCUAUCAGCUUGUUGGUGGGGUGAUGGCCUACCAAGGCGACGACGGGUAGCCGGCCUGAGAGGGCGACCGGCCACACUGGGACUGAGACACGGCCCAGACUCCUACGGGAGCA
rnacentral:rRNA from 1 species